rnacentral:rRNA from 1 species
UACGUAGGGGCUAGCGUUAUCCGGAAUUACUGGGCGUAAAGGGUGCGUAGGUGGUUUCUUAAGUCUGAUGUGAAAGCCCACGGCUUAACCGUGGAGGGUCAUUGGAAACUGGUCGACUUGAGUGCAGAAGAGGGAAGUGGAAUUCCAUGUGUAGCGGUGAAAUGCGUAGAGAUAUGGAGGAACACCAGUGGCGAAGGCGGCUUCCUGGUCUGUAACUGACACUGAGGCGCGAAAGCGUGGGGAGCAAACAGGAUUAGAUACCCCGGUAGUCCCUGAG